rnacentral:rRNA from 1 species
GACGAACGCUGGCGGCGUGCCUAAUACAUGCAAGUUGAGCGAUGAAGAUUGGUGCUUGCACCAAUUUGAAGAGCAGCGAACGGGUGAGUAACGCGUGGGGAAUCUGCCUUUGAGCGGGGGACAACAUUUGGAAACGAAUGCUAAUACCGCAUAACAACUUUAAACAUAAGUUUUAAGUUUGAAAGAUGCAAUUGCAUCACUCAAAGAUGAUCCCGCGUUGUAUUAGCUAGUUGGUGAGGUAAAGGCUCACCAAGGCGAUGAUACAUAGCCGACCUGAGAGGGUGAUCGGCCACAUUGGUACUGAGACACGGCCCAAACUCCUACGGGAGGCAGCAGUAGGGAAUCUUCGGCAAUGGACGAAAGUCUGACCGAGCAACGCCGCGUGAGUGAAGAAGGUUUUCGGAUCGUAAAACUCUGUUGGUAGAGAAGAACGUUGGUGAGAGUGGAAAGCUCAUCAAGUGACGGUAACUACCCAGAAAGGGACGGCUAACUACGUG